UGCACGUUGGUGCCUUGGCCGGAAGCCCAUCUCGGGAGUCCAAACGCGUCGCAGGUUCCCCGUCGCGGCGGCGACGGAGGCGGCCAUCCCAACCAACCUGCCACAGCGAUAACGUUGGCCGGCUAUCACAUCAGCCUCCCGCAAACAAACCGCCGCGCUCCAGCUCGUCCUCCGGCCACCAGACCCGCCCAGCCGCGGCUCGCUGCCUUUUGCUCUCGCGUACACCACUCGGCGCGUCACCACCGCCACACGGGUUGCGCAUUUCGAAUUCCUCGGACGCGCCGUCAGGCGGGUGGGCGCUGAGCCGCACCAAGUUGAGUGCUCUUCCUCGACACCCCGCCCCGCGCCACGCUCGCAUUGUUCGAUCGGCUAUCCCCCGAUCUCCAUUCCCACCCGGUCUCCCCGUCCGCUACUGGUUCGCCCCUCUCACCCCCUUCGCAUCCCACCCCCCGCUUCCUCCACCGCCUCCCCUACUCGCAGGGCGGCACCAUUUCGUAGCCGCCACGAGAGGCUUCUCCGCUGGAUUCGUAUGCUCGCAGCCGCGCAAUCUUCGGGACCAGCCUCACAAGUCUCCUCCUUGACGACCACCUUCCUCCUGCCGCGCGGCACCAUCGUCCUCGGCCGGCUCCGGCAUCGGGCACGCGCUCUAAGCCCACCGGAGCUGAGGCUACUGGACGCCACCGUGGGGCGCACGGUCCGACUCGGCCUGCUGCGCCUGGUGAGCGUCAUGCUCAACGCAGACGCCCGAAAGCAGCGCGCGAUCGCCGAUCGGACGCACCACGACGGAGCAGUGUAGGAUGGCGCAAUGCGCCUAUCACACUGAACGCAUCGUUCAUCAUGUCUCAGCAAAGGAUUUGAUGGGCGGGCUUGGAUACUGGCAUGGAUCUUCUGUGAAGUUAUUGCUCACCCAAGUUAUUCUUCAUUUGUCUUAAACAAGGAUGCACUAUGAGAAUAUCGAAGGAUCAAGUUUGUCCUUCCCCUUGUUUGCUAACUUGCUCAACUGAGGAUGAAAUAUAUGAAUUCAGCAGUUGGUUGUAAGAUCAGAAGACAAACAUAAUCGCAAUGACUUGUGAUUAUGAAUACGCCUGUUUCCUGGCAGGCGGUAAGCAUUAAUCAAGACUAGAAGCUGUUCAAAGUAAUUACAGCUGAUAUCCUGCACAGUAAGCUGUAAUAGUUGUAUGUAACUAAUUCCAAGACACUAGCAUGAUAGCAUGAGUAUUAUGUACCUAGUCGCAGUGGUAAAGAACCAAGAUAGCAGUCCGAGUUUGAACUCUGAAGUGAGCAGCGCACCGUUGCUACUAUCUUUUCCUAAUGAACCCAAACUUGCAGUUGAGCCUUGGCUGGAGCCUGAUAAUUCUCUAGUCCUAAGUCAAUUUUCAUUGUAGGUUUGAAUUAAAAAUUUGACCAUGCUUUAUCAUGUAUCAAUGAAUUUACAGCAUUUUUUCUGCUAUGGAGUAGAAUUGUCAUCCG